UACGUAGGGUGCGAGCGUUGUCCGGAAUUAUUGGGCGUAAAGGGUGCGUAGGCGGUUCGUUAAGUCUGUUGUGAAAUCCCCGGGCUCAACCUGGGAAUGGCAAUGGAUACUGGCGAGCUAGAGUGUGAUAGAGGAUGGUGGAAUUCCCGGUGUAGCGGUGAAAUGCGUAGAGAUCGGGAGGAACAUCAGUGGCGAAGGCGGCCAUCUGGAUCAACACUGACGCUGAAGCACGAAAGCGUGGGGAGCGAUCCGG
rnacentral:rRNA from 1 species